rfam:Niastella yeongjuensis strain 17621 contig6, whole genome shotgun sequence.
UAAGGGGUUACCGAAAACCUGAAACAGAGUAGGUA